GAUGAACGCUAGCGGAAGGCUUAAUACAUGCAAGUCGAGCGGUAGGUGGCUUCGGCCAUUGAGAGCGGCGCACGGGUGAGUAACGCGUACAUGACCUGCCUGUCAGAAGGGGAUAGCCCUGGGAAACUGGGAUUAAUACCCUAUGGUAUUGAUAUUAUGAAUGAUAUCAAUUAAAGUUGAGGCGCUGACAGAUGGAUGUGCGUCUGAUUAGCUAGUUGGUAGGGUAACGGCCUACCAAGGCGACGAUCAGUAGGGGCGUGAGAGCGUGGUCCCCCACACGGGUACUGAGACACGGACCCGACUCUUACGGGAGGCAGCAGUAAGGAAUAUUGGUCAAUGCCCGCAAGGGUGAACCAGCCAUUCCGCGUGGAGGAUGAAGGCCCUAUGGGUUGUAAAACUUCUUUUGUACGGGAAAAAAACCUUCUUACGUGUAAGAAGCUGAUUGUACUGUAAGAAUAAGGAUCGGCUAACUCCGUGCCAGCAG
rnacentral:rRNA from 1 species